rnacentral:rRNA from 1 species
CCCGCUGAGUUUAAGCAUAUCAAUAAGCCGAGGAAAAGAAACUAACAAGGAUUCCCUUAGUAACGACGAGCGAACCGGGAAAAGCCCAGCUUGAAAAUCGGAUGUCUUUGGCGUUCGAAUUGUAGUCUGGAGAAGCGUCCUCAGCGACGGACCAGGCCCAAGUUCCCUGGAAAGGGGCGCCAGAGAGGGUGAGAGUCCUGUCAUGCCCGGACCCUGUCGCACCACGAGGCUCUGUCUACGAGUCGGGUUGUUUGGGAAUGCAGCCCCAAUCGGGCGGUAAAUUCCGUCCAAGGCUAAAUAUGGGCGAGAGACCGAUAGUGAACAAGUACCGCAAGGUAAAGAUGAAAAGGACUUUGAAAAGAGAGUCAAAGAGUGCUUGAAAUUGUCGGGAGGGAAGCGGAUGGGGGCCGUCGAUUCAUCUCGGUCGGAUCCAGAAUGGAGCAAUCCGGUUUGCCGAUAGAUUCGGGCCGUGGACCAACACAGAUUAAGGUGGUGACCUAAGCCCGAGCUUUUGUUUCGCCCGCAGAGACGAUGCUGCCUUAAUCGUGGUCUGCAGCACACGCCUCACGGCGUGCCUCGGCAUCUGCGUGCUCAAGGUGCCGGGCUGUGGGCUCCCCAUUAGACCCGUCUUGAAACACAGAACAAGGAGUCUGAUAUGUGUGCGAGUCAACGGGUGAGUAAACCCGUAAGGCGAAACGAAGCUGAUUGGCUGGAUCACUCACAGGUGCACAACUGACCGACCUUGAUCUUCUGAGAAGGGUUCGAGUGUGAGCAUGCCUGUCGGGACCCGAAAGAUGGUGAACUAUGCCUGAGCGGGGCGAAGCUAGAGGAAACUCUGGUGAAGGCCCGCAGCGAUAGUGACGUGCAAAUCGUUCGUCUGACUUGGGUAUAGGGGCGAAAGACUAAUCAAACCAUUUAAUGUCUGGUUCCCUCCGAAGUUUCCCUCAGGAUUGUUGGAGCUCGGAAACGAGUUCUAUCGGGUAAAGCCAAUGAUUAGAGGCAUCAGGGAUGCAAUGUCCUCGACCUAUUCUCAAAAUUUAAAUAGGUAGGGCGGGAUGGCGGCUUUGUUGAGCCAUCCCACGGAAUCGAGAGCUCCAAGUGGGCCAUUUUUGGUACGCAGAACUGCCGAUUCGGGAUGAACUGGAAGCCGGGUUACGUGUAACACCCGAAUCCGGCCUCUCAAUGAAACUGGACCAGUUUGCUAUAUAAUCAGUCCUUUGCUUGUUUGAUUCAUUUUAAGUCUUUCAUUUACUAAGUCAUGUUCGAAUCUGAGGUUCUAAAACAAUUGAACAGAUAGCAUAGCGGAAUACAAAUGUGUAUAAAAUGUAUUACUUAGAAACAUGAGAUCCGAAACACAACUUCUUAAUCGU